rnacentral:rRNA from 1 species
AAUUUAAAUGUCAUCAGUUUCACGGAUGUAUGGUUUAACAACACAACAAACCAACUUAAUUAUGUCAACAACAACCAAAAUCAAAACUUUCAACAACGGAUCUCUUGGUUCUCGCAUCGAUGAAGAACGCAGCGAAAUGCGAUAAGUAAUAUGAAUUGCAGAUUUUCGUGAAUCAUCGAAUCUUUGAACGCACAUUGCACCUUGUGGUAUUCCACAAGGUAUGCCUGUUUGAGCGUCAUUUCUCCCUCAACCCCCCGGGUUGGCGGUGGAUGGCACUAGCUCAGUCCAUUCGAAAUGCAUUUUCUGUGUUGUCAUUUUCUAAAUUAGCAGAGACAACAACUAAAAACACAUUUUCCUCAUAUCAGGCAGGACUACCCGCUGAACUUAAGCAUAUCAAUAAGCGGAGGAAGCGGAGGAACGCGUUUCUUGUGGAGCUCCAGAAAAAGAAAGGAAGGAAUCCACCCAAGCGUUUGCGUGGAGAAAAUAAAUCCACCCAGAGUGUGCUCCCUCUGGAUCCGAGUAUAACGAACACAGAGAAGCUUGGGUGUUCUUUUUUGUAAGAUGUCUGGAUUAAUUGGAGCGGACGGGUAGGUGCGCUUCUUA